CCACUAAAGUGAUUACAAACAAACGUAUAAGUAGGGAGAUGUACAAAAUUUGAGCACCAAAAAAUAUUAAUUAAAACUAUAUUUAAUACAAAACGAGUGCACGUGCAAGCCAUUGGCAUCCAACUCUUAAAAAUGACAAGCGACGAGAAAAGUUACGACUCCAGCGACAACAGUGAGGCAGAGGAACGUCGCAGUGCCAAGCAUAAAAAGUCGAAAAAGCACAAGAAACAUAAGAAGUCAUCCUCUGCCGACAAUAAAGUGCACAAGAAGCACAAAAAAUCAAAGAAGCGCCAUCGUCAUCAUAGCGAAUCCUCCAAUGCAUCCGACAACAAACAACGAAACUCCAGCAGUCAAAGUCAAAGUCUUAGCAGUAAAUUUACUGAAAUAAUGCAGAAAAAUGGUGGUGAUUUCCGUAUCAUAAAGCCUAAUAUGCAAACGGAUCCAUGCAGUUUAGUCGAGGAGAUCACCAAGACCAUACAGAACAAAGUGAUGACUGUGCCCGUGCUAGAAGUGGCUAGCUCUGGUAGCGAAAGUGAAGUUCCCAUGGAUGUGGUUAGUCCGGUCAUAGACCCCAAACUGGAGGAUGAGCUCAAUCUGGAGGAACUGAUGAAGCAAAAGGCUCUGUUACAGGCACGUCUGGGCGCCUACAUGUCCGACACCGAGUGCGAUGAAUCUCGCUCCAAUUCGGUGUUGGUCAAACGCAACUCACGUGACGAGGACAACGGCGAGCGUCGCCGACAGCAACAACAGCCGAGGGAGCAGCAUCAUCAGCAGACCAAAUUGGCAGCUAGUGAGGCGCCGUCGAAGCGCAGGCUAAAUUCCUCCUCCAACUCCUGCGCGCAGUCUGCAGCACCGCUGGCAACUGCAACUAGUAAACAUGUUAAUAAUCAACAAACUAACAUCCAUAACUCAAACGAAUCCGAUGUUAUAUUAUUGGAUGAUUCUAGCGGUGGCCAGCGCACACCUUCGCCCACACCGGACAAGCGACGACGUCAUGCCUCGCCGCCGCCCCACUCCCUACCCGCCUCUGCCCAUCCCCGAAGCCGUACACGCGAUGAACCGCCACCAGCUGCAGCCAGCAGUCGUAAUCAUCGAGAUGCGGGACGUGAACGACGCUCCCGUGAGCGUAUGCCUCGCGAACAACGCAGUCGCACACCACGCCGUCGUCUGGAGCAGCAGCAGCAGCAGCAUAAUCGCGGUGACCAGCGGCGCCAUCAUCAAGAGUACAAUCGCAAUAUGGAGGAUUUGCGACAGGAGAUCAAUCGUGACAAGCAGCGCGAGAGACGCGAGCAAAGCCGCGAACGUGACAGACGACCCAGCGACAGAGAACACAAUCGUCAGCCAGCGGAGCAGCGUGGCGGACGGCCCAGGGAGCGUGAACGAGAGCGGGAACGGGAACGCGAUCGUUGGAACCGACCGCGUUCGCAUAGCCGCAGUAAGUUUGAAUCUGAUAGGCGACGCGAGCGUGAGCGUCAACUGGAGCAGGAUCGUGAUGGAGACCGUGGCGCUGCUCGUGGUGGUGCUGGGCGUGGAGCACGUGGCUCGGGCAAUGGCGUGGGUGCUGGAGAGCGUGAUCGCUACAAAGGCUCGCUUAGUGAGGGGCAGAAGCAGCACGAUAAAGAGAGCAGCGACGAGGAAAAUGAAAGCUUUGACAUUGACAUUAAUGAGGAUGACGAUGACGAGGAGCGCAUUAUUGAGCUACGACGCAAACAACGCGAGGAGCUGCUAAAGAAACUGGGUAGCAAUGAUCAGGAAUCGCGAACAACAAGUCCAACGCCACGCAAAUCUAAUUCCUACGAGUCGAGAAGCACAUCGCCAGUGUCAUCGCGAGUCGAUCGCUCGCAGCGCACACCAACGCCAACGCUUAGGGAUAAGGUGGAGGAAGAAGAGGAGGAGCCACAGCUCAAUGCAGCCAAGAACAGCGCUGUCAAGGAGAAACGCAACGAUUGGGAUAUGUUUGCCGAUCAGGAUGUGGAUUCCAAUUUUGAUUCACCAAGCACAAUUGUGCAGAACAAGCAUCAAAACGAGAAUCCCGCCUUGACGGACAAUUGGGACGAUGCCGAGGGUUAUUAUCGUGUGCGCAUUGGCGAGGUGCUUGACAACCGCUAUCUUGUCAGCGGCUAUACCGGACAGGGUGUCUUCAGCAAUGUGGUGCGUGGUCGCGAUCAAGCUCGUGGUGCCGCCAAUGUUGCCAUCAAAAUCAUACGCAACAACGAGAUCAUGCACAAAACUGGUCUACGUGAACUGGAAGUACUGAAGAAACUGAACGAUGCCGAUCCCGACGAUCGUUUUCACUGUCUGCGUCUGUAUCGCCACUUCUUUCACAAACAGCAUCUCUGCAUGGUAUUCGAGCCGUUGGCAAUGAAUUUGCGUGAGGUACUUAAAAAGUAUGGCAAGAAUGUGGGACUUCACAUCAAGGCAGUGCGCAGCUACACACAACAAUUGUUUUUGGCCCUCAAGCUGCUGAAGAAAACGGGCAUUCUGCAUGCGGACAUUAAGCCCGAUAAUAUUCUGGUCAAUGAGAAUAAUCUCAUAUUGAAACUUUGCGAUUUUGGCUCUGCGUCGGGCAUCAGUGAAAAUGAAAUUACACCGUAUUUGGUGUCACGUUUCUAUCGUGCACCCGAGAUUAUAUUGGGCAUACCAUAUGACUAUGGAAUUGAUACGUGGUCAGCUGGUUGUACCAUCUAUGAGCUGUACACGGGCAAGAUCUUGUACAGUGGCAAAAGCAAUAAUCAGAUGCUCAAGUUCUUCAUGGAUGUCAAGGGUAAAAUACCCAAUCGUAUUGUGCGCAAGGGUCAGUUUAGAGAGCAGCAUUUUGAUCAAAGCUGCAAUUUCCUCUAUCAUGAAAUUGACAAACUAACCGAGCGGGAAAAGAUUGUGGUAAUGCCCGUUGUCAAGCCAAGCCGCAAUCUACAGCAGGAACUGAUUGCCGAUCAGAAUCUGCCCGAUGAUCAGCACCGAAAGGUGACACAACUGAAAGAUCUGCUGGAGAAUAUGUUUGCUCUUGAUCCGGGCAAGCGUAUUUCGCUAAAUCAGGCGCUAAUGCAUCCAUUUAUACAGGAGAAAAUGUAGAUGAGACAACAGAAUAAACUGGAACUGCAAUUGAUCCAAUAAUGAUCACGUCCAUGCGGAGCAGCCACGACAGUUCAGAGCAGUUGAACCAACUGCUACUUGGCGAAAAUGCCUUGUGGAAAAGUGCGCGCGCGUCUUGAAACUUGAGACAUUCCCACGUCGGGGCGUAACCGGGAAGAGCUUGAACAAACUUGAAAAAGCAAAGCAAAAGCAAAUCAGGUAAAGUAUUUUCCCAUGACUAACAAUAUCCAUAUAGUCUGUUUCAAUGAGUUAUUAAAAAUAUUGAAAUUAUGUUUGAAAAUGUAUCCACAAAAAAAUGCUUAAAAAGUAAAUUGGAUAGCAUAUUAUUAUACGAUCUUUCCGCUAUAUAUAAUAUUUAUAUUUCUUUUUAUUUCAAUCGAUUUAUAAACCUAUGUUCGUUUCUUGUCUUUGUCCACUAACAAUUUUUAAAUAUCGUUGAAGAAAAGCAAAUGAAAUGAAUAUGAAAAUAUGGUGACCGGGGGAUACGUUCUUCCUCAACAGUAGAGAUUACUGUCAUGCUCUUUUGGUCUAAGUCUACAAGGACAAGACUUCUAGAAACGAGUUUCGAAUAUUUUUGAUUGGUUUUCGGGUG